UACGAAGGGGGCUAGCGUUGCUCGGAAUUACUGGGCGUAAAGGGCGCGUAGGCGGAUAUUUAAGUCGGGGGUGAAAGCCCAGGGCUCAACCCUGGAAUUGCCUUCGAUACUGGAUAUCUUGAGUUCGGGAGAGGUGAGUGGAAUGCCGAGUGUAGAGGUGAAAUUCGUAGAUAUUCGGCGGAACACCAGUGGCGAAGGCGACUCACUGGCCCGAUACUGACGCUGAGGAGCGAAAGCGUGGGGAGCGAACAGG
rnacentral:rRNA from 1 species